GCCGGUGUAGCUCAACGCUAGAGCAGCCGAAAUUGUAAUCGGCAGAUGGUGCGUUCAAGUCCUCCCGCCGGCUCCA
rnacentral:tRNA from 1 species